UACGAAGGGUGCAAGCGUUACUCGGAAUUACUGGGCGUAAAGCGUGCGUAGGUGGUUUGUUAAGUCUGUUGUGAAAGCCCCGGGCUCAACCUGGGAAUGGCAAUGGAUACUGGCAGGCUAGAGUGCGGUAGAGGGUAGUGGAAUUCCCGGUGUAGCGGUGAAAUGCGUAGAGAUCGGGAGGAACACCAGUGGCGAAGGCGGCUACCUGGACCAGCACUGACACUGAGGCGCGAAAGCGUGGGGAGCAAACAGG
rnacentral:rRNA from 1 species